GCCCCGACCACCUCGUCAUCGCCGACCUGCCCGUCGCCAAGAGCCUCGGCGCUAUCACCUCCUCCGCUGGGUCCUCCGUCCGCUCCGUCGGCCGGCGAUCACGCCGUAUCAUUGGCCAGAAGGUCCACUUCUGCGUCCGCUGUGACUUCCCCAUCGCCAUCUACGGCCGACUCAUCCCUUGUGACCAUGCUUUUUGUUUGGCGUGUUCAAGAAGUGA
rnacentral:misc_RNA from 1 species